GGCCCUGUGGCUAGCUGGUCAAAGCGCCUGUCUGGUAAACAGGAGAUCCUGGGUUCGAAUCCCAGCGGGGCCUCCA
rnacentral:tRNA from 1 species